rnacentral:rRNA from 1 species
GAGAGCGGCGCACGGGUGCGUAACGCGUAGUGCAACCUGCCCUACACCGGGGAAUAGCCCGUCGAAAGGCGGAUUAAUGCCCCGAUGGUCCUUUUUCCGGGCAUCCGGGGGGAGGUAAAGAUUCAUUGGUGUAGGAUGGGCAUGCGUGCCAUUAGCUGGACGGUGGGUAACGGCCCACCGUGGCGACGAUGGCUAGGGGUUCUGAGAGGAAGGCCCCCCACACUGGGACUGAGACACGGCCCAGACUCCUACGGGAGGCAGCAGUGAGGAGUAUUGGUCAAUGGGCCGGAAGCCUGAACCAGCCAAUGCCGCGUGCGGGAAGAAGGCGCUACGCGUCGUAAACCGCUUUUGUCCGGGGGUAACCGUGGGGACGUGUCCCCACCUGCAAGUACCGGACGAAUAAGGGUCGGCUAACUCCGUGCCAGCAGCUGC